GGGAAUAGUUACAUCUGGAGUUCAGUAUUACAUACAAGGCAUGGUCAUAAAAUCCAUGGGCCCAGUUAUUGUGACUGCUUUUAAUCCCCUGCGUAUGAUCAUUAUUACAACCUUGGCCUGCAUAGUCCUAUCUGAGCAACUCUACCUUGGAAGUAUUAUUGGAGCGAUAGUUGUGGUUCUUGGGCUCUAUCUAGUUGUGUGGGGAAAAUAUAAAGAAUGCCACGGAAGAUCAAUGCCACCGUCUCCGGAAAAGGAUAACUUUCUUGAGGAUCAACGACAGCUAUCGGUCACAGUUCCUAAGAAUGAUACCAAUGAUAAUAAGGGUUAAUUAUAUUUUUCAAAUCAAUAAUAAGGCUUAAUUAUAGUCCACCACCAUGAUGAAAAGAGUGAUUUUGAAAGCACAAUAUCAAUGUUCAGCAAAUCUAAGCUGGCCUCUUUCUUGAAUUAGACAAUGGUGUAGCAUUCCCGUACAAUUAUUCACACCGAUCCAAAAUUCUGAUGUCAAUGUCAUGAACAUGUUCAACCAUGCAAUUGGUGGGAUAAGUGGCAUGACGAUCGAUGGAAUCUAUCAUAUAAGUAGUGGUCACUUAGAUUUGCAUCAUUAUUGUUGAGUGACCUGAUUUUCUUUCGAUUCUCCAUAUAUACACAAUGAUGUGCUUCUGGCUAA